rnacentral:rRNA from 1 species
GGCGCCUAAGGUAUGGUCGAUAACUGGGGUGAAGUCGUAACAAGGUAGCCGUUGAGGAAUCAGCGGCUGGAUCACCUCCUUUCAAAGGAA